GCGUUUGUAGCUCAGAUGGAUAGAGCGUCGGACUUCGAAUCCGCAGGUCGCACGUUCGAAUCGUGUCAGACGCA
rnacentral:tRNA from 1 species